rnacentral:misc_RNA from 1 species
CUUCUCGUACUUCGGAGCUUCCGGUGCCGCUGUCUUCAGCGCCGACAACUGGUCAAGGGACUGCAUGGUAUCGGACAUUAUGCGGCCCUCAUGUUCUUGCGAUUCAUCGAUGCGAUAUCCACGAUUUCCGGCUGCUGCGCUUCAUGCGGAUGUUCCGCACCUGCGUAAACACGCAGGUUGCCGAGCUGCACACGGCCCAGCGGACCGCGCGGGAUCAUGCGCUCAAUCGCCUUCUCGACGACGCGCUCAGGAAAGCGACCCUCGAGGAUCGACUUCGCGG